rnacentral:rRNA from 1 species
ACUCAAAUGAAUUGACGGGGACCCGCACAAGCAGCGGAGCAUGUUGCUCAAUUCGAUGCAACGCGAAAAACCUUACCUGGAUUGAACUACGCAGGAAAAGCCAUAGAGAUAUGGUGUCCUUCGGGGCCUGCGAUAGGUGGUGCAUGGCUGUCGUCAGCUCGUGUCGUGAGAUGUUGGGUUAAGUCCCGCAACGAGCGCAACCCUUGUCCUAUGUUGCCAGCGAGUUAUGUCGGGAACUCAUAGGAGACCGCCGUGGUCAACACGGAGGAAGGUGGGGAUGAUGUCAAGUCAUCAUGCCCCUUACGUCCAGGGCUGCAAACAUGCUACAAUGGCUGGUACAAAGGGCUGCAAAACCGCGAGGUUAAGCUAAUCCCAAAAAGCCAGUCUCAGUUCGGAUUGAAGUCUGCAACUCGACUUCAUGAAGCUGGAGUUGCUAGUAAUCCCAGAUCAGCAUUGCUGGGGUGAAUACGUUCCCGGGUCUUGUACACACCGCCCGU